CGCCGCCCGCCGACCUGCCACGCGCUCUUCCAGGCCCUAAGCGGCAGCCGCAUGGGAAGUGUCACGGGACCCUGAACCGAACUAAGGGAUUCUUCCAGCCCAGGCGCACAGGCAAGAGCAGUGACCCCCACACAGAUGUUAGUUCCGACAAAGAAGGCAAGGAAGGAAUGAAUGGCUGUUCCAGAGGACCAGAAUUUCGCCCAAGAAAAGGGAAUCAACAGCAAAGGAUGGGCCGGCUGCAGAAAUUCUCUCGGUUUGUUUUCUCACACAUCUGAGAAUGUCGGGACCCUUCCAUUCCCGGAAGCAGGAAGAGUGAGGCAAGCACGUCUGCCACCUUUGCCGAGCGCAGCAGAGAGAUCACUACCAGGUCCUUGGCUCUCUUGUGCCCACAGAAGCCUCUAGAGCAGGACAGCUCUAGACAUAACCAGGUUCCAAAAAUAAAACAUAGAAGUCAGUGCCAGGUUCUUCUGCAACUAUUGUGAACUGGCUAGGUGAUAAUCAAGGAGAAAUGGCAUCUUUCUACCGCUCAGGAACUCUUAUGUGACCUGAGAUACACUGGAGAAGAUGUCAGGCUGGAAAUCCCAGUGAAGAAGGGGGAGAGAAGGCCGCGUUAGAAGGCAGCAAGAACACCUAGUGCGUCUCUCAUUGAAACUGUGACCGCUCUUCUCAAGUCUUCAGGGUUUUGGUUGCUGUCGACCCACAUAGUAAGUAGCUUGUGCUAGGAGGAAAGUGAAGAUCAGGAAUAGAAACUGUGCUUAAAACAAAGAAAUGUAAGGCUUUGCCUGUGAAGUUGGGGGAAAUUAAAGCUGAGUAAUUUGAACCUCAAAAACCAGCAGUGCUCACUAGCUGGGUCACUUCCUGGUAAGCUUCUUCACCUCACAGACUUGCCUUCUCACCUGAGACUGGGGAAUACCCUAACCAAGACUGUGACCGUGGUGUUGGUGGCUUAGCUCCACGAAACUGGACGUGCCAAACCAGACACAAGAAAAAGAACUUUAGCAUAUAAAGUUUUUGUUUUUUGGAUUUUUUGUUUGUUUGUU